rnacentral:rRNA from 1 species
AUUGAACGCUGGCGGCAUGCCUUACACAUGCAAGUCGAACGGCAGCAUGGAGAGCUUGCUCUCUGAUGGCGAGUGGCGAACGGGUGAGUAAUGCAUCGGAACGUACCGUGUAAUGGGGGAUAACGUAGCGAAAGUUACGCUAAUACCGCAUACGACCUGAGGGUGAAAGCAGGGGAUCGCAAGACCUUGCGUUAUACGAGCGGCCGAUGUCAGAUUAGCUAGUUGGUGAGGUAAAGGCUCACCAAGGCGACGAUCGGUAGCGGGUCUGAGAGGAUGAUCCGCCACACUGGGACUGAGACACGGCCCAGACUCCUAAGGGAGGCAGCAGUGGGGAAUUUUGGACAAGGGGCGAAAGCCUGAUCCAGCAAUGCCGCGUGUGUGAAGAAGGCCUUCGGGUUGUAAAGCACUUUUGUCCGGAAAGAAAUUGCUCUGGUUAAUACCUGGGGUCGAUGACGGUACCGGAAGAAUAAGGACCGGCUAACUACGUGCCAGCCGCCGCCGUAA